GAUGAACGCUAGCGAUAGGCUUAACACAUGCAAGUCGAGGGGCAGCAUGGUCUUAGCUUGCUAAGACUGAUGGCGACCGGCGCACGGGUGCGUAACGCGUAUGCAACUUGCCUCACAGAGGGGGAUAACCCGUCGAAAGACGGACUAAUACCGCGUACACUUGGGAUAGGGCAUCCUGACCCAAGGAAAUGAAAUUCGCUGUGAGAUAGGCAUGCGUCCCAUUAGCUAGUUGGUGAGGUAACGGCUCACCAAGGCGACGAUGGGUAGGGGAACUGAGAGGUUGAACCCCCACACUGGGACUGAGACACGGACCAGACUCCUACGGGAGGCAGCAGUGAGGAAUAUUGGUCAAUGGGCGAGAGCCUGAACCAGCCAAGUCGCGUGAAGGAUGACUGUCUUAUGGAUUGUAAACUUCUUUUAUACGGGAAUAACAAGAGCCACGUGUGGCUCCCUGCAUGUACCGUAUGAAUAAGCAUCGGCUAACUCCGUG
rnacentral:rRNA from 1 species